rnacentral:tRNA from 1 species
GGGUAUACAGCUUAGGGGUAAAGCAUGUGCUUAGCAUGCAUGAGGUCCUGGGUUCAAUCCCCCAGCACCUCCG